AGUGAACGCUGGCGGUAGGCCUAACACAUGCAAGUCGAACGGCAGCACAGUAAGAGCUUGCUCUUACGGGUGGCGAGUGGCGGACGGGUGAGGAAUACAUCGGAAUCUACUUUUUCGUGGGGGAUAACGUAGGGAAACUUACGCUAAUACCGCAUACGACCUACGGGUGAAAGCAGGGGAUCUUCGGACCUUGCGCGAUUGAAUGAGCCGAUGUCGGAUUAGCUAGUUGGCGGGGUAAAGGCCCACCAAGGCGACGAUCCGUAGCUGGUCUGAGAGGAUGGUCAGCCCAACUGGAAAUGGGAAAAGGUCCCAGCCCCCAAGGGAGGGAGCAGGGGGGAAUAUUGGGAAAUGGGGGGAAACCUGAUCCCGCCAUACCGGGUGGGUGAAAAAGGGCUUCGGGUUGUAAAACCCUUUUGUUGGGAAAAAAAAGCCGCCGGUUAAAACCCCGCUGUUCUGACGGUACCCAAAAAAUAAGCACCGGCUAAAUUCGUG
rnacentral:rRNA from 1 species